AGCCACGCGGUGAGCACAAAGCGAACUAUUCUCUCGCCUUUUACUAAAGAAUACCGUGUGUUCGCCGCAACUAAGUGUAAGUGGCAUAUGCCAAUUUUUGGAGAGCCCUUUCCAAAGGUCU